GACGAACGCUGGCGGCGUGCUUAACACAUGCAAGUCGAACGGAAAGGCCCUGCUUGCAGGGUACUCGAGUGGCGAACGGGUGAGUAACACGUGGGUGAUCUGCCCUGCACUUCGGGAUAAGCCUGUGCAACUGGGUGUAAUACCGGACAGGAGACAUUUUGAGCGUGAUGGUUGGAAAGUUUUUUCGGUGUAGGAUGAGUUUGCUGGCUAACUGCUUGCUGGUGGGGUUAUGGCGUACCAAAGCGGCGUCGGGUAGCCGGCCUGGGGGGGUGGACCGCCACCUUGGGACCUACGUGCGGCCCCGGCAGCGACUGGACGGCGAUGGGCGGAAUAUUGACCAAUCGGCGCCAGCCUGGUGCAGCGACGCCGCGUGGCGGAUGACUGCCUUAGGGUUGUAGACUACUUUCGCUAGGGACGAAGCUCUUUGUGACGGUACCUAGAUAAGAAGCACCGGCUAACUACGUG
rnacentral:rRNA from 1 species